UUUUUUCCUUUUCAUUAAUCUGAAUACAUGUUGGAUUCAUUGUUAUUUUUAUUUAUUCUUGAUGAUAUUUGAUUUAUAAUGCAGAGAUUUUGUUGACGAGGAAUUGAAGCCAUCAAUGAUGAUUAACGAAUAUCUACAUGUGAGGUGACAAGUUACAUAAUUGGUUUUGCUCUAUUUACAAGAUCAUAACUUUAUUUCAAUUCUAUUUGAUGUCAUAUCCUUCAAAUUAUUGAGCACUUGCAAUGUUCAUUAUGGUGUUCAUGAUCAUUUUCAUACAAUAUCUAAAUACAAAUCUUACUCUGUACAAUGCGGUACUGAAAGCUUAUCAAGAUUAGACACUAACAAGCAAUGAAGCUAAAAGAAUUGCACGUGAUCUUCACAUUGAUUUUGAAAAGAAAACGAAAGAUUGAGUGAGUCAACUCAAUAUUGAAAUCGCCAAAUGUUGUGCACACAAGGAUCCAGGCCAUGUGGAUAUAUAUCCAACAUCACAUAUACCAAAGAACUUACACCAUUUUGUUGAGCAUGCUAAUCGGUCAAAAAAUCAACAUUAUAGAAAAAGGGUUCCGAAUAGGAAAAGAUUUAAGCACCGAGUCAACUGUUUUGCAAUGGGUAUACGAUGAUGAGAGUCCUAUUGGCGGUGGCUGUUAUGGAGUUAUAUAAUAAGGAUGGAAUGUAAUCAUAAAUGGGUUGGAAUGCAAUCAGGACUGGCUAGAAUGGAAUGCAAUAUGGAAUGGCUCCAAUCUGGAAUGUUUGGAAAGGAAUGGGAAUGAGGAUAAUCAAGCACAAUUAUAUGAGGUGUAUUAGAUGGGUUGUAUGGUGUAUUAGAUGGUUGUUUGGAAGGUAUUGAUAGAAUCAUAUAGAGUACGGUUAAAUAGUUAUACUCUAUUAGGAAAUGAAAUCUAAUACAACACUCUAUUAAUACGAUUUGAUAUAUGUAUUAUAUAUACACUUUCAACUGUAUUAGAUUAGCCUUUUCUAGUA